rnacentral:lncRNA from 1 species
CUUUGACCACAACUCAUCCUCUCUUUUACAACAGGGCUGCUAAUAGUUCAGCCUCCAUUUGAAGAAGUCUUUCACCUCUCUAGACCCAGAUACUGUUCUAGUUCCGCCUACUCAGGGAGUGUCACCAAGUCCUGUCACCUGACCCACCCCUACCCAAUGGUCUCCUAAUGUUUUCAACUCACUGCCUUGGCUUUCUAUACUUUAUUUUUACUUUCACUUUAUGUAGAACACAGAAUCUACCCCAACUCGAGCAGACCUCCCCUAGGUGUCAAGGUGAGGAAGAGACUAUUGCAAUGGAUGCCCAGAUGGCAAGUGUGUUGAGGAAUAUCAUUGGCAUGUGGACAGUAACAUGGUUAUUCUCUACAACUUGGUUACUCACCCAGAGAGAACGUCUUCAGAAAAAGAACUUUUGGUGGCACCUGUAUGGGAUCCUGACAGGGACUUUUCCAUUGGAAAUAGGUGUUUGUAUUUGUUAUUUGUGGACCCGGCACAGUUGCCCAGGGUUUAUUCUCGAUGAGGACUGGAAGAACUGGCUUGUCUGGAGUGUCGUGUUGAUCUUCUUCAUAUUCUUAAUUGUGAUAGCUAUGGAACUUGAAUAUGGAUUUUUUAUCUUUUUUGUCAUGAUGCUGUUUUCAAUGAAUUUAGGUGAUAUUGAGAGCAUCAUCUUUCUGCUGCCUCUACUAAGGAUGAUUUUAACUAUCAUUUUUGAAAUUUUUGUUUAAAGUUUUGAGUUCCAAAUUCUAUCUCUCCCUCACUCUCCCUUCCCCCCUUCCUUCUUCCCUGAGACUGUAAGCAAUCAAAUAUAAGUUAUACACGGACAAUUAUGUAAAAUGUUUCUAUAUUAGUCAUUUUGUACAAGAAAGCUAGAGUAAAAGAAAAAAAUGAAAUAAAAGUUACUUGCUUCAGUCUAC